rnacentral:rRNA from 1 species
GAUGAACGCUGGCGGCGUGCCUAAUACAUGCAAGUCGAGCGAACAGAUAAGGAGCUUGCUCCUUUGACGUUAGCGGCGGACGGGUGAGUAACACGUGGGUAACCUACCUAUAAGACUGGGAUAACUUCGGGAAACCGGAGCUAAUACCGGAUAACAUUUGGAACCGCAUGGUUCUAAAGUGAAAGAUGGUUUUGCUAUCACUUAUAGAUGGACCCGCGCCGUAUUAGCUAGUUGGUAAGGUAACGGCUUACCAAGGCGACGAUCCGUAGCCGACCUGAGAGGGUGAUCGGCCACACUGGAACUGAGACACGGUCCAGACUCCUACGGGAGGCAGCAGUAGGGAAUCUUCCGCAAUGGGCGAAAGCCUGACGGAGCAACGCCGCGUGAGUGAUGAAGGGUUUCGGCUCGUAAAACUCUGUUAUUAGGGAAGAACAAAUGUGUAAGUAACUGUGCACGUCUUGACGGUACCUAAUCAGAAAGCCACGGCUAACUACGUG